ACUCUGAUGAGGGCUCAGACUUGAUAACGCCCGUGGUGCCCCAUCCCUAUAGGAGCUGGUGAGAUUGCAGCCUGCUGCCUCCCCUCCAUCAGCCACAGCUAUUGGAUUUCCCACCCAGAAUCUUUAGGUAAAUGAGAAAUGGGCAGGUCUGUCAGAGAAACCAACUGAUUCCUGAUAUUAUCACAAAGCCAGAUACUUGAAGAGCUCUAUUAAAAUAUGACUGAGGCCCUUUGAUGACCAGCCCAGCCUGUGGCAGAUACCCGCACUGAGGAAACUUGUUACUGGGUGUGCAGAUCAUGAUUCUGGAAGGAGGUGGUGUAAUGAAUCUCAACCCCGGCAACAACCUCCUUCACCAGCCGCCAGCCUGGACAGACAGCUACUCCACGUGCAAUGUUUCCAGUGGGUUUUUUGGAGGCCAGUGGCAUGAAAUUCAUCCUCAGUACUGGACCAAGUACCAGGUGUGGGAGUGGCUCCAGCACCUCCUGGACACCAACCAGCUGGAUGCC
rnacentral:sRNA from 1 species